UUCUGUUCUCUCUCUUUCUCUCUGCCGUUUUUCAAUUCAAGUGAUUUUGAGGCUUGAAAGUAUGUGAGUGAGUCAUAGGGAGUUUAAUAUCUUGAUGAAUCAAAGAAGAAGGUGAUGAUGUUGCUAUCGAUUGAGUUUUGGAAGAAGCAGAAAAGGGUAAGAUAAUUUAGGGUUUCGAAUUGAUUGAUUUCUUUUCUUGAAAUUGCUUUGUGUUGUUAGAUUAAAGAUGGGUUAUCUGUAACUCUUUAGAUAGAGACUGUAUGAGGUUUAAUUUUGAUUUCAUAGAAAAUUAGGGUUUAUGUUUUUCCCUAAAUCAACCAGAAAUUAGGAUUCAUGCGAAUUAGGUUGCUUGAUUCGGAAUCUACAGAUGAAGGAGAUGAUCGAGCUGCAGUUCAAGGGUAAUUGGUACUUAAAAACUUGGAUAUUGAUGUUGUUUGUUUGAAUUAAGUUGAACUGAGAUGCAGCGGUAGAUAAAUGGAAUUGAUGGAGAAAUUGUAAUUGUAAUUAGGUUGGUAUGGUUCCUGAAUUGGGAGAUUUCUGAUGAAGAAGAUGAAUUCAACAGGGGUAGUUGCAGUAGCAGUUGGGAGUAUGAGAUAGGAUUUGUAGUUAGAUGUGCAGAAUUAUAAGUAGUGGUGGGAACUGAUAGAUACAGUUGAUUGUGGAAUUGUAAAUGGUGGUUGUGUUAUUGUGGUAAGAGUUUUGUUUGGAGAGGAAGAUGGUGGUAUGAGCUGACUUUCAGUGAAGUGUGAUUAAAUAUUGUUGGUUGUAUGAACUGGUGCUGCAGUCUCAGAUGGAGCUAGUGUGCACAAGAAGCCGCAAUUGGUUGAUGCUAAGAGAUGGAGUAAGUUUACUGCUAUGCUAAGAAGAAACUGAAGAAGGGGUCUUGAGGUUAGAAGUUGCUUCCAAGAGAAUGGUGUUGCGAAGACAAAACUAGUGCAAGACCCAAGGAUUGGUUAUGGUGUUAAUGCAAUGAGUAGUGUAGUUGAGCUGCAGAUGAUACACAAUGAAGAACAUGAAGAAGUUGUUGGUGAUUAGUAUGCAGAAUGGCAGUUGUGUUUAGGUCUGGCUAUGGAUGUAUGAUUUGAUGAUAGAGAAUGCAAUAGAAAGCAACUGCAGAUACAAGUGGGCUAUGCCCAGUUUUUGAAGAUAUAAAUUGAUGUGAAGAAAAUGUUAUCUAGAGAUGGGGAUUACAGAUUUGUAACGAUUGAUGAAAGCAAGACCUUAGGGAGGGUAGCUGGUGGAGGUAUGAAGUAUGAAUGCUUAGGUUGCAGCCUAAGUUGAGGCUACAGAGGGAGCAAAGAUUGUGAAGUGUCCAAGGUAUGGAUAUGAUAUGGUUUAAGAUAGUGGCGAGCAACAAUAGUUGCGGGUAGAGUUGUAAUAGUUAGUUGAGCAGAAUUAUAGGAUUGUAGUGGUUUAUGAGCUAUAAGAUUAUGUAUUGGAAUUGGAAAUAGAGAUAGUGGAAUCAGUAUUUGAACUGAUCAAGGAGAGUUAGAAAUGCAUACGUUUAGUCUUGGCAUGUUUUGGUGUUACAACAUGAUUGUGCAUUAGAAGUUUGCAUAUGCAGAGGCUUAGCCUUAGACCUUUCAGUUCAGUUAGAUGUCUGGUUGUUUUACCCUAUCUGACUCAGUUAUUGACUGAGUUGAAUCUUUUGGACCGAUUUGACUCAGAGACCUGACCAGUUGACCUUGGUUUUGUUGACUUGGACUUGGACUUGGACUUUGACUUACGUUCACUGUUAGUUGACCCCUUUGACCGUCAGUGAUUGUUAGUUGACCCGUAUGGACUGGGCUUUAGAUUAAUGGGUCGUGCCAGUUCAGGCCUAAUGGGUUUGGGCUUAGUUUCAAGUGUUCUUAGUUUGAUGGUCCGAAUUGACCUUUAUGGUCCGAAUUGACCUUUGGUUGCCUCUCCAAAGUUGUGGAUGUUCAUAAGACAUAUCUAAUGAACUAUAAUCAACCUAAUUGGAUUAGUAAACCUUAGAUGUGUAAAGAUAGAUAACGAAAAGGUGUAGAAUCAUAAAUGGGCUUAGAACCAAUAGAUAGUUCACAUAGCCUAUAACUAGAGAAUUGUAUGAGAUUAUGUCAUGAACCUGGUAUGGUACCUAUCCUUUUGGAUAAACUCAUAGAUUUAUUGUGUGCUUAACAGUUAGUCUUUAUUAACAACGAUCAAUUCAAAGGUUGAACUAGUGGAUUGAGGAUCUCGAGGUAGGCGUGGCUUGUCAUCAAAUCAGGUACCAUUCGCUAUAACUGGAAAAAGAGGAAGAUUUUGAGAAAGUCAGGGACUCAAGAAGUGAAGCAAAUUGAAAUUGAAAAAGAUGUAAACAACCUCAAAAGAUUCAGUCUUCAUACAGACACAGAAGAACAAGAAAGCCAACAGAAAUUAGCACAACAAGGUGCUGAGGUUCUGUUGAUGGAACAAGGAGAAAUCUUAGGAAAAAAGGUAAGCCUAAACCUGUUUCAAUUCCAAAAUAACAUAGAUACUUACCGGAAUAGGAGGAAGUUUAGGAGGAAGUUUAGAUAUCCACAGGAUAAAUGUGUAAACACAGCUUUGCAAACUAUAUAUGGUGAUGUGAAAUUAUUAAGGGAUUGUAUGCAAUUUUCUAAUGAAGAUGUUCAAAUUGUUUUUGAUGA